rnacentral:rRNA from 1 species
ACAUGCCUACAACAUAGGGUUAAUGCCCCAGAUCUCAUUAGAACUUCGCAGUGAAGCGUGCUGAGGAUAAAGUAGUAUUGGGAUGGGUAACAGCCCGAAAAGUCCUAGUGUUUUACAUGCC